rnacentral:rRNA from 1 species
GGUUGUAAAGCANUUUCAGCGAGGAGGAAAGGNUGGAAGCUAAUACCUUUCAUCUGUGACGUUACUCGCAGAGGCANGCACCGGCUAACUCCGUGCCAGCAGCCGCGGUAAUACGGAGGGUGCAAGCNUUAAUCGGAAUUACUGGGCNUAAAGCGCACGCAGGCGGUCAGAUAAGUCAGAUGUGAAAGCCCCGGGCUCAACCUGGGAACUGCAUUUGAGACUGUCUGACCAGAGUCUUGUAGAGGGGGUUAGAAUUCCAGGUGUAGCGGUGAAAUGCNUAUAGAUCUGGAGGAAUACCGGUGGCGAAGGCGGCCCCCUGGACAAAGACUGACGCUCAGGUGCGANAGCUUGCGGAGCAAACUGGGAUUAGAUACCCUGGUAGUCC